AUGCCCCGAGGAUAGAGAAUGUAGCGCUAUCACACCCUUAGGGUCAAAAGGAAUGCGGGACAGGCUACACCCGCCGGGGCAC
rnacentral:ncRNA from 12 species